GUGGGGAAUCUUAGACAAUGGGGGAAACCCUGAUCUAGCCAUGCCGCGUGAUCGAUGAAGGCCUUAGGGUUGUAAAGAUCUUUCAGGUGGGAAGAUAAUGACUGUACCACCAGAAGAAGCCCCGGCUAACUCCGUGCCAGCAGCCGCGGUAAUACGGAGGGGGCUAGCGUUGUUCGGAAUUACUGGGCGUAAAGCGCACGUAGGCGGAUUGGAAAGUUGGGGGUGAAAUCCCGGGGCUCAACCCCGGAACUGCCUUCAAAACUCCCAGUCUUGAGUUCGAGAGAGGUGAGUGGAAUUCCGAGUGUAGAGGUGAAAUUCGUAGAUAUUCGGAAGAACACCAGUGGCGAAGGCGACUCACUGGCUCAUUACUGACGCUGAGGCUCGAAAGCGUGGGGAGCAAACAGGAUUAGAAACCCGAGUAGUCC
rnacentral:rRNA from 1 species